GUGCACAUUUCAUUGAUCUGCUUUCCCUUGUGUGUGAGCAGUGUUAUUUCUUAUGUGCUACACAAAUAGUUGAAGGUCAUUUAGCAGUAUAACUACAUAGUAAUGCUGCCAGUCCCCUUCAGACAAAU
ensembl:snoRNA